rnacentral:lncRNA from 1 species
CCUGGCCAAGGUUUUGCUAAAUUGAAAUAUGACUGUACACAGCUCUUGAACUGGAGUGGUCAAUCUCAUCUUGACACACGCACCGACAAGUCAAGUACUUGACUACACCCAGCAGCCUUCCGUCACUGAAUUAAAAAUUCAGGUAGUCCAGUGCCUAAGUGCAAUGAGUUGCUUGGAAGUCACCGUGGCGGUCUCAGGUCGGAGGGAUAUUUAUACCCAUAUUC